UGUAAACAUCCUACACUCAGCUUUAACAAGUAAAAGCGGCUGGGAGACGGGUGUUUACUCU
rnacentral:pre_miRNA from 1 species